GACGAAGGGGGCUAGCGUUGUUCGGAAUUACUGGGCGUAAAGCGCGUGUAGGCGGUUGUCCAAGUUGGAUGUGAAAGCCUUGAGCUUAACUCAAGAAAUGCAUUCAGGACUGGAUGACUAGAGGACCGGAGAGGAUAGUGGAAUUCCCAGUGUAGUGGUGAAAUACGUAGAGAUUGGGAAGAACACCCAGUGGCGAAGGCGGCUAUCCUGGACGGUUUCUGACGCUAAGACGCGAAAGCGU
rnacentral:rRNA from 1 species